ACCAGGACUAAACCAGGACUAAAUCAGGACUAAACCAGGUCUAAACCAGGACUAAACCAGGACUAAACCAGGACUAAACCAGGUCUAAACCAGGACUAAACCAGGACUAAACCAGGUCUAAACCAGGACUAAACCAAGACUAAACCAGGACUAAACCAGGACUAAACCAGGACUAAAUCAGGACUAAACCAGGUCUAAACCAGGUCUAAACCAGGACUAAACCAGGUCUAAACCAGGUCUAAACCAGGACUAAACCAGGACUAAACCAGGUCUAAACCAGGUCUAAACCAGGACUAAACCAGGACUAAACCAGGUCUAAACCAGGACUAAACCAGGACUAAACCAGAACUAAACCAGGUCUAAACCAGGACUAAACCAGGACUAAACCAGGUCUAAACCAGGACUAAACCAGGACUAAACCAGAACUAAACCAGGUCUAAACCAGGACUAAACCAGGACUAAACCAGAACUAAACCAGGUCUAAACCAGGACUAAACCAGGACUAAAUCAGGACUAAAUCAGGACUAAACCAGGACUAAAUCAGGACUAAACCAGGACUAAAUCAGGACUAAACCAGGACUAAACCAGGACUAAAUCAGGACUAAACCAGGACUAAACCAGGACUAAACCAGGUCUAAACCAGGACUAAACCAGGACUAAACCAGGACUAAAUCAGGACUAAACCAGGACUAAACCAGGACUAAACCAGGACUAACCCAGGACUAAAUCAGGACUAAACCAGGACUAAAUCAGGACUAAACCAGGUCUAAACCAGGACUAAACCAGGUCUAAACCAGGUCUAAACCAGGACUAAACCAGGACUAAACCAGGUCUAAACCAGGUCUAAACCAGGACUAAACCAGGACUAAACCAGGACUAAACCAGGUCUAAACCAGGACUAAACCAGGACUAAACCAGGACUAAACCAGGUCUAAACCAGGACUAAAUCAG
ensembl:lncRNA